AAAUUGAAGAGUUUGAUCAUGGCUCAGAUUGAACGCUGGCGGCAGGCCUAACACAUGCAAGUCGAACGGUAACAGGAAGCAGCUUGCUGCUUUGCUGACGAGUGGCGGACGGGUGAGUAAUGUCUGGGAAACUGCCCGAUGGAGGGGGAUAACUACUGGAAACGGUAGCUAAUACCGCAUAACGUCGCAAGACCAAAGAGGGGGACCUUAGGGCCUCUUGCCAUCGGAUGUGCCCAGAUGGGAUUAGCUAGUAGGUGGGGUAAUGGCUCACCUAGGCGACGAUCCCUA
rnacentral:rRNA from 1 species